UACGGAGGGUGCGAGCGUUGUCCGGAUUUAUUGGGUUUAAAGGGUGCGUAGGUGGCUUUAUAAGUCAGUGGUGAAAUACAGCCGCUUAACGGUUGAGGUGCCAUUGAUACUGUAGAGCUUGAAACAAUUGGAGGCUGCCGGAAUGGAUGGUGUAGCGGUGAAAUGCAUAGAUAUCAUCCAGAACACCGAUUGCGAAGGCAGCUGACUACAGGGAUAUUGACACUGAGGCACGAAAGCGUGGGGAUCAAACAGG
rnacentral:rRNA from 1 species